rnacentral:rRNA from 1 species
GACGAACGCUGGCGGCGUGCUUAACACAUGCAAGUCGAACGGAAAGGCCCUGCUUGCAGGGUACUCGAGUGGCGAACGGGUGAGUAACACGUGGGUUAUCUGCCCUGCACUUCGGGAUAAGCCUGGGAAACUGGGUCUAAUACCGGAUAGGAGCCAUUUUUAGUGUGAUGGUUGGAAAGUUUUUUCGGUGUAGGAUGAGCUCGCGGCCUAUCAGCUUGUUGGUGGGGUAAUGGCCUACCAAGGCGGCGACGGGUAGCCGGCCUGAGAGGGUGGACAGCCACAUUGGGACUGAGAUACGGCCCAGACCCCUACGGGAGGCAGCAGUGGGGAAUAUUGCACAAUGGGCGCAAGCCUGAUGCAGCGACGCCGCGUGGGGGAUGACGGCCUUCGGGUUGUAAACUCCUUUCGCUAGGGACGAAGCUUUUUGUGACGGUACCUAGAUAAGAAGCACCGGCUAACUACGUG